rnacentral:rRNA from 1 species
UGAGGAAUAUUGGUCAAUGGGCGGAAGCCUGAACCAGCCAAGUCGCGUGAGGGAUUAAGGCCCUAUGGGUCGUAAACCUCUUUUGUCAGGGAGCAAGGUCGUCCACGUGUGGACGUUAGGAGAGUACCUGAAGAAAAAGCAUCGGCUAACUCCGUGCCAGCAGCCGCGGUAAUACGGAGGAUGCGAGCGUUAUCCGGAUUUAUUGGGUUUAAAGGGUGCGUAGGCGGGACCUUAAGUCAGCGGUAAAAUUGCGGUGCUCAACGCCGUAGAGCCGUUGAAACUGGGGUUCUUGAGUGAGCGAGAAGUAUGCGGAAUGCGUGGUGUAGCGGUGAAAUGCAUAGAUAUCACGCAGAACCCCGAUUGCGAAGGCAGCAUACCGGCGCUCAACUGACGCUGAGGC